CUCAUUAUUCAUCAAUUAAUGAAAAACAAAUGAAAAUUUGAGAGAGAUAUUCUGAAGAAUAAAAGGAUCAAGUUGGGUCAUUUCUAAAAUGUCAGAGACCUAAUAGGAUGGGGUCUUAGAGAAACAUCUUUUGAGCCACAGACUUCUUUGUUACCAGAAGGAAAAUGAAAGAAGAAAUUUAAAUACCACUUGAAGAGAGGUUCCUCAUCAGCAAAGUCAGAAAAAGUAUGUACCUGAAGGACUGAUUGUAAGGCUGGGAUGAGAGAAUCCAUGUGAUCAGCCCUCACCAACAGGUGCUGCCCAGUUCAUGAGUGCUGCUGCUGUCCUGCCCAAGUACCCAGCUUGCAGAGUGCCAGAGUUAGAGUCCCAGGGGUGUUCUCCACAGCUGCAUGCUUGAUCCAGGCCUAUCAGGUGUUAUUUGUUGACGGAACCAGGCAUCAUCAGCAAACAAAACUGACAAAGCUUCCUGCCCUCUGUGGAAGGCAUCUGAGGAAGAGACUGGAUUUUGUAGCAACAUGUUAUUCUCAUUAUAAACUUUAUCAUUGGAAUACUAAAGCCAAAUCAUCCCCCAU
rnacentral:lncRNA from 1 species